UACGGAGGAUCCAAGCGUUAUCCGGAUUAUUGGGUUUAAAGGGUGCGUAGGCGGCUUUUUAAGUCAGGGGUGAAAGACGGUAGCUUAACUAUCGCAGUGCCCUUGAUACUGAAGAGCUUGAAUAUACUUGAGGUAGGCGGAAUGUGACAAGUAGCGGUGAAGUGCAUAGAUAUGUCACAGAACACCAAUUGCGAAGGCAGCUUACUAAGGUAUGAUUGACGCUGAGGCACGAAAGCGUGGGGAUCAAACAGG
rnacentral:rRNA from 1 species